AGCGCCCUGUCGCCAUUUCUAUGUGGCUGUGCUCGCUGUUAGUGUUCCUGUAUAUUCUCCCGCAGGAAGCAGAGUUGCGCAUAACUUUUCCGACGCCGCUCACACCGCUAUUCGCCGAACGCUAUCACGUGGUACAAAAAUGACGUCAAAUGAUCAACUGCACCGCUGCGAAGCCAACUUUACGGGCACGGCACCGGCUCGUUUCUGUGAGUGUCAUCGAAAUUGCAAUCAGCGGACCGUCAAGCGAGCGUUGCACUUAUCCGCUCCGGGUUGCAGCGCACCAAACUGCGCAAAUCGCACGUGCGGACGGACGAGACCGGCCAGCUCCGAAUGGGGCCAGGAUAUGUGAGGUGCGCUCGCCUUGUUUGCAGAGUGGCUUUGAAUCCUUCACCCAAGGCUCCAAGAACCGGCACUCAUCCCCUGCUGCCACCAGCCAUUGCUCAUUCAUUCCCUUGUACGA